rnacentral:rRNA from 2 species
AACUUUCAACAACGGAUCUCUUGGUUCUGGCAUCGAUGAAGAACGCAGCGAAAUGCGAUAAGUAAUGUGAAUUGCAGAAUUCAGUGAAUCAUCGAAUCUUUGAACGCACAUUGCGCCCACCAGCAUUCUGGUGGGCAUGCCUAUUCGAGCGUCAU